AUUUCCCCGCCCUCAUUUCCCCAUUGCUCACUCUCCAGAGCUCUGGGCUUCAUCCAUCCUACUGAUUCCCCUGUAGGCCCUAUUCUUCACCAGAGUUAACUUCGAUAUCACCUACCACCCUAGAAACCGGAACUGCAAGGCUGAUGCACUCUCUCGUCGACACUUCAUCUGACCCUGAGCCUAUACUCCCUCCAGCCAUGAUCACCAACCCCAUCAUUUUGAGUUUGGAUGAGGACAUCAGAGUGGCUACAUGGAACGAACCUGCUAUGGUAAACCCUUCUGGGCUCAGUCCACUGUAUACCAGGCUCUGGACAUCCAGGCAGCCAACAGACCCUCUCACCUGCAAGCUGGUGGCCCAGUAUGUCCUGGGAUGUCAUCAGGAUUACAAACUGCCCUGGAAACGGCUGAGCACCUAUUCUCCAACCUCUUCCGGAACUUUGGGCUACCUCAGGAUAUCGUGUCAGACCGGGGUCUAGGGACGUAGCUGGAGUUUUCGAGGCCCCGGUGAAGGCUGUACCAGUCGGCCCUGAUUGAAAUGGUGUAAUUGGCAUGUUCGGUCUAUUUAAGUUUUUUUUUUUUUU